rnacentral:lncRNA from 1 species
GUGUUUCCGGCAGGUCCACUACCAGGAUGCCAAGGGGCCCGAGAGGUCUAUAAGAAGCUCCAUGACCUCUGCCAUCUGUGGCUCAGGCCGGAGCAACACACCAAGAACCAGAUUUUGGACAUGCUCAUCCUGGAGCAAUUCCUGGCGUCAUUCCCCCGGAGAUGCAGAGAUGGGUCCGGGAAUGUGGAGCAGAGACCAGUUCCCAAGCCGUAGCCCUGGCUGAAAUUUUCCUCUUGACCCAGGCCGAAGACAAGAAACAAGAAGAACAGCAGUAUACAGAAUCGGGCCCCAACUUUCCCGAGCCCUUCAAGACUUCCUCAGAUGCCCGACAGAGCGCUCUGCGAAGGUGGAUGAAACACGAAGGGGACGCAACGUCCAUCCUACAAGGAGAUGGAAUGAUGUCGGUGAUACGUGCCCAGUCAACCUCUCUUCUUUGUGGUGGUGGAGACAUAACAAACGCACAACAGACUCCGUAGGGAAAGCGUGGUUGUUGUUGUGGGGUGG